GACGAACGCUGGCGGCGUGCUUAACACAUGCAAGUCGAACGGAAAGGCCCUGCUUUUGUGGGGUGCUCGAGUGGCGAACGGGUGAGUAACACGUGAGUAACCUGCCCUUGACUUUGGGAUAACUUCAGGAAACUGGGGCUAAUACCGGAUAGGAGCUCCUGCUGCAUGGUGGGGGUUGGAAAGUUUCGGCGGUUGGGGAUGGACUCGCGGCUUAUCAGCUUGUUGGUGGGGUAGUGGCUUACCAAGGCUUUGACGGUUAGCCGGCCUGAGAGGGUGACCGGCCACAUUGGGACUGAGAUACGGCCCAGACUCCUACGGGAGGCAGCAGUGGGGAAUAUUGCACAAUGGGCGGAAGCCUGAUGCAGCAACGCCGCGUGCGGGAUGACGGCCUUCGGGUUGUAAACCGCUUUCGCCUGUGACGAAACGUGAGUGACGGUAAUGGGUAAAGAAGCACCGGCUAACUACGUG
rnacentral:rRNA from 1 species